rnacentral:lncRNA from 1 species
ACGGGUAAGUUAGUACCUUAGAGUAUCAAGGAACUCUUAAAAAUCUCUGAAAUCUUUAAAGGUAGACUCGACCUAAGAGUUUUCCUGGAAACUCUAUAAAACCAAACUAGAGCUUUAUGGUUGAGCUCACAAACCUUCUUUCACACUUUGGUACUAUUGAGACAACCCUCUCAACCAAAGUGGACACACACAAGAGGUGAUUAGAGGAGUGGAAUAUUAAAGCAAACAACACUUCUUACUUGUAAAGAUGAACAAGAAGAUUAGAAGAAGAAGUUGGAGAGCUUUUGAAGCUUUGGAAAGCUAGGACACUUGAGCACUUGAAAGCUUGGAGGCAAAAACGUGUGGGCAAGUGUGGAGUGAAAGUUCUUGAGUUUGUUUG